CCACAUUUAUCUUCCACUAUUCCAGGGAUUCAUGACUGAGUCUUUUUAGGUUUAUUUAUUGAAACUGCGCCACUGUGCUUCUGGUUCUCCUGCAGUUCUUUUGUCAGAGUCAGUUCAUGGGUGGCCACCUGGCCUCCAUCACAAGCCCACGAAUCCACAGAGAUGUGAUGGACUUGAUGCUGACGACUAUCGGAACCCGGACACGCGCCUGGGUUGGAGGACUCCGCUUUUUAGAUACUGGGCGCUUUGUCUGGUUGGAUGGAUCCCUCUGGGACUAUUCUGAUUGGCUGGUCGGGGAGCCCAAUCACACAGCCAAUAAGGAGGAAUGUCUGGAAGUGCUUGCCAAUGGAAAGUUUAAUGACUUCACAUGCUGGGAACCUCAACCCUUCUUCUGCUCCUGCCCUUGUGACUGAAUACAACAGGAGCUCUUUUUCAACCUGUUUCCUCGUCUGAUCGGAUGCACAGAUCGUUGCGUUUUACUUUUCUUACAAUAAAUCAUUUAUUUGAAAGAAAAUGACAACGCAGUCGGAUAAAUGCCUCAGAAACCUAUUUUCUCAGUCAGCAGAUUUGUCAUUUUCUACUCAAGUCAAGACACUUUUGUUUUAUUUGAUAGAUUUUUUAAGAUUGGUGCUUUAUGUUUUCUGUGAAGUGGGUGGGACUAAUCUGGGAAAUGAUGAUGUCACAAUCUCCUGCUCCAAUCAGGAUUUAGCAACAUUUGAAAGCGAUGGCAGCUGCCAUGUGGUUUGGUUGUUUUCAGAGCUCAUGUUCAGUCUGAAGCAGAUUUUAUGAAUAAUGCAGAAAGAUAUAUUUGUUUAUCUUUAAUGUUGCUUAUUUACUGUAGUUGUGAAUGUUGAUGUUAUUUAGAGACGCUGAAAUGCACAUUUCUAGGGCUUUUAGAAAAGUUAAACAAAAUGAAUGAAAUAAUGCGCAUUCAUAAAAUAUAUAUGUUGUCCUUUGUUUUUGAUAACGAGCUUAUAAACUGUAAAUAAAGAGAACAUUGUGUUUUA